CUUUGUUUAUGUUGAUGCAGCAGGACCUAGCAAUCAUUCCUCUUCCCACAACUUUGCUGUGCAUGUAUCAAGCAAUUUGAAACCGAAAAAAGAUUGGCAAAAGAUUCGAUCAGCUGUCAAAUGGUUCAUGCUGUAUGUGACUAAGAGGGACGAAUUUUGGUUCAUAUGUACUCCCUGACCCUAAGGAACAAGAACCUGGACUUAUAUUAGUGUCGGAUUAUUUUAUAGUUUAACUAACGUGUAGCUUAAGGCACAUGUUAAGAACACAAAAGUAGAAUAGUUAUAUUAAAAAAUAUAACAAUUUAACUUUUAAAAAGUUGAAUGAACAACUUUUAAAAGAAUAUUUUUAUAUUAAGUUGUUUAUCCUAUGCCAUGAGUCACAUGUUAACAUUUACCAUUAUUUUAUUUUUAUACCCAAUGAGCAGUUGUACUGUCCAGUACUUUCUCUUAUUCUGAUGUUGCUUAUAUGAAGAUUACUAGUGUUGAACCCAUGUUAUAUGCUGUGUAAAAAUUUGUUAUACAAUUGGAUGAAGUUGAUUAAUUUUGUUGUUGAUUUGUAAUAGUGACAAGAAUACAUUUUCUAAUGCUGCUCUUUUCAAAUAUAUUUGUUGUGUUGUUCAAAAAAUAAAAUUUGUUUCUUUUUUUUAACAUUUGCUCAACAAAAUGAAAAAAGUACAACUCCAAGGUUUUUGAUGUAGUAGUAAAAAACAGAUCCUAAAUUCAAUAAAAUUUUGGGUUUGAGUUCUAUUAAUGUUUUUUGAAGAGAGAUAAUGUAAAUAUACUCUGAGCUUUAAACUCUUCCAUACCUUGGACCGGGAAAAGAUAUACACUCACAACGACUUGAGUUAAAAAAUAACAAACUGUGUGGAAAUUUGAAUGGUGAAAAAGUGAAAAGAAGAAUGGACGGAGUAUAUCUAUAAUAUAGUCCAGAUACAUCAAUAAUUUAAUGAGUCUAAAAAGUUGAUUUUUGUUUAUAAUUAAGGAUCGAGAGAGUAUAUACUAUAUACAUACUUCUCCGUCCUAAAUAUAAGAGAAAAUUUACUUUUUAGAUUCAUUAAGAAUCUAAUGUAUCUAGCCUAUACUAUGAACUAAAUAAAUUAGAUUCUCAAUGAAAAUACAUUAGAUUCUUAAUGAAUCUAAAAAACAAAUUUUUUUCUUAUAUUUAGGACCAGAAGGAAUAUAUAAUUACAAAUAAAUGAAAAGUAAAUCAACAAGUUACAUCACUAAACAUUUCUGUACAGUAAAAUCAAAUUUUCAAGAAAUUAUAACAUAAGCCUUGCAUCAUAUAAAAGUUAAAUUCCACUUUUAGAUUCAUAAAUCUUAAGCUUAAAUAUGAAAAGAUUAAUCAGUCAAUUUAGUCCCUAAACUAUCACUCUCUCACCAACUUAGUCCCUAAACUAUUAAAAACAACUAAAAGGUCCCUAAACUAUAUUCACAUCCGUCAAUUUAGUCCCUAAACUAUUAAAAACAACUAAAAGGUCCCUAAACUAUAUUCACAUCCUUCAAUUUAGUCCCUCACAAACAUCAUUUUAUGAUUCCUAACAAACCUGUUAUAAUAUCUCAAAGGCACUUUUUAACACACUAGCAUGGAUGAAAAAAGCUNNNNNNNNNNNNNNNNNNNUACUAAAACAGAAGAAAAGGAAUAGAAGGAUAAAAAAAACUCCCAGACCCGCAAGAAACAAGAGAUCACAGUAUAAACUUCAAAGGGAUAAAACAAAAUCACAAACCCUUACAAAUUUACAAAAGUGAGAAUAAAAAACAGACCUGAUUUUAGCGUAGUCACUAACAAGAAAAGUAAAUGCUUGAGCUUGAGAAGCUUCCGGUCCAGUGGGACUAUAAAACUCACUAGGAUAAGCAGUAUUAUUAAACCAGACAAAACAACAANNNNNNNNNNNNNNNNNNNNNNNNNNUAAUCUUUCAGUCAAAAAGUUGAAUAAAAAAAAUAUUCUGUGUUGAAAAAAAAAAAAGAAACCGACAAUUGCCACUUUUAUCAUACUAAAGAUCUCUUUCGUUUUAAAUAAUUAUUCUGAAAGAAUGAAUUGAGUUCGGCGACUAGAUGUUAUAUUUGCAUUGCGAGCAAAACGGUUGUUGCCGGAGUGGAGUGGUUGGCGGCGAGCAGGGUGGUUGUUUUUCGUCGAAGCACGUGGAAAAAGAAAGGGUGAUAAUAUUUUAGGGUUUUAUAGACAAGUUAACAGAGGACUAAAUUGACGAAUGAAAAAUAGAUUAGGGACCUUUUAGUUGUUUUUAAUAGUUUAGGGACUAAGUUGGUGAGAGAGUGAUAGUUUAGAGACUAAAUUGACGGAUGUAAAAUAGAUUAGAGACCUUUUAGUUGNNNNNNNGAGAUUGAUAGUUUAGGGACUAAAUUGACGGAUGAAAAAUAGAUUAGGGACCUUUUAGUUAUUUUUAAUAGUUUAGGGACUAAGUUGGUGAGAGAGUGAUAGUUUAGGGACUAAAUUGACUGAUUACUCAUAUGAAAAUGGUUCUUACAAUUACGCGUUGUUUUGAUUUUAACUCAUGUAAAAAUAAAUGUUUGAUUUUAGUCCCCGUAAAAUCUCAAAACUUUUAAAAGAGUCUCUAAGCUAAAUUUUUUGAUGACAUGUUACAUUUUUGAUGAUUUGGCAGAUACUUAGUAGGAUUUAUCGAUGACAUCUCCCAUUUUUUAUGACAUGGAUUAAUACAUAGAUAUUUUAUUUAAUUCUUAAUUUAACAAAAAGAAGCAAACAGAACAUGAAGAAAGAAGGGAGGAAGGAGUCGUUGCCGCCGCUGUCUCUAAACACCACCGCCGAACCAAAUCGCCGCCGCACCACCAUCGUUGCUCGUGAUUCCCUUUUUCUAUUUUCCUCUUUUUAAUUUAAUUUAAUUUUUCUAAAAACCGGAAAAUUUAAUUUUAAAAUUAAGAAUCAAAUGAAAAAUAUAUAUAGGGUUAAAUAUGUUUUUGGUCCUUAUACUUUCACAGAAUUUUCGUUUUAGUCCAUGAAGUUUGUUUUAACACUUUUUAGUCCCUAAAGUUUCUUCACUCAAAGUUUUUAGUCCCUACUUUUCGUUCAACUCGUGCAUAUCAUUUGAAAUUUUAAAUUUUUUCCCCGUGAUCAUGUUUAGUACAUUAUAUGAAUCUCUGUUACAAAAGUUUAAUUAUUUUUUUAACAAGAAAUGAAUUAAAUAUGAAUUUUUUUAAUUAUUUUAAAUUUUUAUCGGAGAUGUUCUUAUAAUAUUAUAAACAUGAAUAUAAAACAUCAUUCAAAAAUGUGAAAGUGUACAAUAGUUUGAUUAAAAGUAGGACUAAAAAUUUUGAGUGAAGAAACUUCAGGAACUAAAAAGUGUGAAAACAAACUUCAGGACUAAAACGAAAAUUCUGUGAAACUAUAGGGACCAAAAACAUAUUUAACUCAUAUAUGUAUUAAUCCACGUCAUAAAAAAUGGGACACAUCAUCAACAAAUCCUAUUCAGCAUAUGCCAAAUCAUCAAAAAUGGAACAUGUCAUCAAAAAAUUCAGCUCAAUAACUGUUUUAAAAGUUUUGAGAUUUUGCAGAGGCUAAAAUCAAAACAAUGCGUAAUUGCAGGACCGUUUUCAUAUUUAAACAUAAAUCUUAUUAUUAGAUUAAAUGAGAUAUGACGAGAUUUAUUGAUACAAACUUAAAAUAAAUAAAUAAAAAAUUAAAAAGUACCAUUAUCCGUGCAACUACGAGACUAAAGUGAAAUUUUUUCAAGGGUUUAAUUAACCUCUGUAGAUAAAUAUUUUUUCAUACAUACUAUUAACUGUAACCGUGGAAUAAAUAGUCAAUGGACGUCAGUAAAAUAGUCUUACAUAUAAUCAAUUACUCCCUCCGUUCCGAAACUUUAGGCUAUGUUUGGAUUGAUGGUACAUAACGGAAUGGAGCGGAAUGGAAUAAGAUGGAAUGGAGCGGAGCGGGAUGGAAUGGAGCAUAAAAUGUNNNNNNNNNNNNNNNNNNNNNNNNNNNNNNNNNNNNNNNNNNNNNNNNNNNNNNNNNNNNNNNNCAUUCAUUUUUAAAGAAUCCAAACAAUGGAACUUCACUUCAUACCACCACAUACCACUCCAUUCCAUCUCAUACCACCAAUCCAAACAAAGCCUUAGUUCUUUUGGAGUUUUGUACGGAGAUUAAGAAAUGAGAAAAAAUUAUUAGUAGAGUCAUUUUUACCCCUACUUUAUUAAGAAAAAAAUAUAUUAAUGUUUUAACUCUAGUAAGGGUACAAAUGGUAAAAUAUCACUAAAUGUGCAUUGAUUUUCUAGAAGGACUAAAAUUUUGGGACAAAACUAAAAAGGUAAAAAAACUAAGGAUUUGAGACGGAGGGAGUAAUAGUUAAGGGCCGUGAGUUAAGUUAGUUACGCGUAAGUCAAUAGUAUUAUAGUACUACAUUACACACGGUUUGUUGACUGGGUUGCUUCUCUUAACUCUUUUGAAAUUUCAUGUGCUCUUUCUUUUUACCAAAUAGUAUAUACUAUUAAUGAAUUAAUAAUAAUCAUAAUAUAUACUACAUAAAGACGGAUUGAUUUGAGCGUGAUCAUCACUUUACUAUAGUUAUAAGUUGUAACAAAAAAAAAAAAAACCAUCAGAAUUUGUUCACUUAAUAUAGUAAUACUACUAAUUUUGAGUUGUAAGUUAGUGGAACAAUAUUGGAAUUUGAUGGCAUCUUCGAAGAGGACAUCUCAUGUUCCUAGUACUAGUACUAAGAGAAUCAAACAUGGCAACCCAGAACAAGAAGAGAUCCAACAAUACCCUUUAUUUCCGUAUGUGUUUGUUUGUUUUACUAGUAUUUUGUUUUUCAUCUAAUUCAUGAUGUUCCUUUUCUUAUUUGACUUGACUUGUUCUGUUUGUGUUUUAUUGUGUGUAGCACUACUUUGAGUCGUAGUGCCACCAAUGACAACAACAUCAUUGCCUUUUGCAUUGAACACUCAUUUCGAAAAGUGGUAGUAGUAACCACCAUUCACUUUCAUGCUUUUCUUCCUUACUUCAAGAUUUUUAUAGUAUACCUAAUUAACGAACUAACUAACUAACUCUAUGUCAUGUUUUAUUCCUCAAUUAGAUUCGAGAUGUGGUUCCACCAAUGCUCGACCGCUACCUAGCCCCAAGGUAUGUAUAUUGUCUCUCCAUUUGUUUUUAUUUCAUCUUUAAAUUAGAAUCAAUUCAAGAAGCAAAAUCAAAUUGUAUUCAUAGUUGUUUGUGUUUCCAAUUUAGUCGUGGAUUGACCCUUAACAGGCGGGUCAACCCAUUUGGAACAAGAGGUUUGCAAUUGUGCUUCAAGAACAAUUUGCCUAAAAAAAAUUACACACAAUCCAAAAUCAAAGCUGAGGGAGGUGAACCACUUCGAAUUGAACUGCACGAUGCUGGAAAUCUGCACAUAGUGAGGGAUGGGGGUUCAUCGAUGAAGAUCCGAAUUUGUGUCCUACAAGGUGACUUUGGAAAAGAAGAUUGGACUGCUAAGGAAUUUGAUAAGCAAAUUGUAAUUCCAAGAGAGGGAAAAGGACCACUGCUGAAAGAAGAUAAAGUCAUUACACUAAAAGAUGGAGUUGCUUUCAUCAACAAUCUAGAGUUUACUGAUAUAUCUAAGAGAAGAACCGAAGAAUUUCGGUUAGGGGCUAAAAUAGUCCGAUCUAAUUCAAUUGGAUAUGAUAUUAGGGAAGGCAGAAGCGAACCUUUUAGAGUCCUGGAUGUUCGAGGAAAGGGUAAGUCCUAAACCUCUGACUAUGUUGGUCUAUUUUAUUUUUAUGAAAUGACAAUUGUUAGUAAUUAGUUGUUAAAAAUGUAAAGCAUAUAUCUUGACUUUGAUUUUACAUUUUCAUGUGUUUUGACUUUUGAUCGUUUCAGCUUACAAGAAACACGAUCGUCCAUCAAUGAAUGAUGAGGUAUGGCGCCUGAGAGGAAUACGUAAAGAUGGUAAACUUCACACGGAGUUGGCCUCACACGGAAUAAAAUGUGUUAAGGAUUUUUUGCAGUUGUACAAAACCAAUGAAGCUUCAUUAAGAGAGGUAAAAAAAAUUAUACUAUUGUGUGUGGAAUAAUGAUUUUCUACUUUUGCUCAUGAAGUUUUUAAUUUAGUUGUUUGAUAUGAUUUUUGGCUUUGGGAAAAUAGAAAAUAGGAAAGAUUGCAGAGAAGUCAUGGAAGAAAAUUAUUGCACAUGUCAAAGAGUGUGAUGUAGAUGAUGAUGAGGAGGAGGAAAGAGUUAAGCAACAUGCUUACAAAAAUUUGAAUGAUCUGAAACAAAUGCCAAUUGAUACUACAACAGCACAUGGUUUGGUGGAGACAUGUAUACAAACUGCACAAUGUCAAUAUGGUGGCCAUGAUCAACUGCAACAAUUUCACUUUUCAAUUCCUCCGCAAGGUACUUUAUAUAUACAUACACCUAUAUUCUGCAUAAACACUUUUGGAUGCAUUUCAAAAGAUUCAUCGUUAAUAACUGAAUACCGAUCCUAAUUCAAAAUGUGUAUCGGUCUUAGUGCACCAUGUUUUGACAUCAGUCGUUAGUAGUAGUGUAGACGUGUCCGUGUCAGAGUCAAAUACUUUGUGGGUUUUUGGUUAUUGUUCUUGUUGCUAAUAUCGUAAUUCUAUCCUCCAGACUUACUGAAUACUGAUCCUACAAGCUUUAACUCAUGCCAACCUGAAAUGGCACCAUACUUGUAUGAAGAGGGGAAUAUAUUAUCUGGAUUUGAUGGAGUAUCACAAACUGGUCAAUUUGAAAGAAGUAACUCAUUGGAACAAUUAUAUGCCUUUUUUAAUAGUGAUGGAGCAGGACCUAGCAACCAUUCCUCUUCACCCAACAUUGCUGUGCAUACAUCAAGCAAAGUGAAACUGAAAAAAGAUUGGCAAAUGAUUCGAUUUGCUCUCAAAUUCAUGCUGUAUGUGACUAGAAAAAAGGAACAAAUUUUGGUCAUAUAUACCAAUACUCCCUGAUCUAUAAUGAAACAUUAAGACCCUAGGGAAUAACAGAACUAGUGUCACAUCUACAUACAACAUUUCAAACAGCAUGAACAAAACUAAUGCAUUUUAUAC
rnacentral:lncRNA from 1 species